GAUGAACGCUGGCGGUAUGCUUAACACAUGCAAGUCGAACGGACUCUUCGGAGUUAGUGGCGGACGGGUGAGUAACGCGUGAGAAUCUGGCUUUGGGUUCGGGACAACCACUGGAAACGGUGGCUAAUACCGGAUGUGCCGAGAGGUAAAAGAGAAAUUGCCUGAAGAUGAGCUCGCGUCUGAUUAGCUAGUUGGUGAGGUAAAGGCUCACCAAGGCAGCGAUCAGUAGCUGGUCUGAGAGGAUGACCAGCCACACUGGGACUGAGACACGGCCCAGACUCCUACGGGAGGCAGCAGUGGGGAAUUUUCCGCAAUGGGCGAAAGCCUGACGGAGCAAUACCGCGUGAGGGAAGAAGGCUCUUGGGUUGUAAACCCCUUUUCUUAGGGAAGAACAAAAUGACGGUACCUAAGGAAUCAGCAUCGGCUAACUCCGUG
rnacentral:rRNA from 1 species